rnacentral:rRNA from 1 species
GGGUGAGUAACACGUGGGUAACCUGCCCUAUACAGCGGGAUAGCCAUCCGAAAGGAUGAUUAAUACCGCAUAAUAAGUAUCUACCGCAUGGCAGAAACUUUAAAGGAGCAAUCCGGUAUAGGAUGGACCCGCGGCCCAUUAGCUAGUUGGUGAGAUAAAAGCCCACCAAGGCGACGAUGGGUAGCCGAUCUGAGAGGAUGACCGGCCACAUUGGAACUGAGACACGGUCCAGACUCCUACGGGAGGCAGCAGUGGGGAAUAUUGCACAAUGGGGGAAACCCUGAUGCAGCAACGCCGCGUGAGUGAAGAAGGCCUUCGGGUCGUAAAGCUCUGUCUUUUGGGACGAAAAAAUGACGGUACCAAAGGAGGAAGCCACGGCUAACUACGUGCCAGCAGCCGCGGUAAUACGUAGGUGGCGAGCGUUGUCCGGAAUUACUGGGCGUAAAGGGUGCGUAGGCGGAUAUUUAAGUCAGAUGUGAAAUUCCGGAGCUUAACUUC